GAUGAACGCUGGCGGCGUGCCUAAUACAUGCAAGUCGAGCGAAUGGAUUAAGAGCUUGCUCUUAUGAAGUCAGCGGCGGACGGGUGAGUAACACGUGGGUAACCUGCCCAUAAGACUGGGAUAACUCCGGGAAACCGGGGCUAAUACCGGAUAACAUUUUGAACCGCAUGGUUCGAAAUUGAAAGGCGGCUUCGGCUGUCACUUAUGGAUGGACCCGCGUCGCAUUAGCUAGUUGGUGAGGUAACGGCUCACCAAGGCAACGAUGCGUAGCCGACAUGAGAGGGUGAUCGGCCACACUGGGACUGAGACACGGCCCAGACUCCUACGGGAGGCAGCAGUAGGGAAUCUUCCGCAAUGGACGAAAGUCUGACGGAGCGACGCCGCGUGAGUGAUGAAGGCUUUCGGGUCGUAAAACUCUGUUGUUAGGGAAGAACAAGUGCUAGUUGAAUAAGCUGGCACCUUGACGGUACCUAACCAGAAGGCCACGGCUAACUACGUGCCAGCAGCCGCGGUAA
rnacentral:rRNA from 1 species